CAGUCGCCGCGGUAAUACGUAGGGUGCAAGCGUUAAUCGGAAUUACUGGGCGUAAAGCGUACGUAGGCGGCUUUGUAAGUUAGAGGUGAAGGCCUGGUGCUCAACACCAGAACUGCCUUUAAGACUGCAUCGCUUGAACGUCGGAGAGGUGAGUGGAAUUCCGAGUGUAGAGGUGAAAUUCGCAGAUAUUCGGAAGAACACCAGUGGCGAAGGCGGCUCACUGGACGACUGUUGACGCUGAGGUACGAAAGCGUGGGGAGCAAACAGGAUUAGAUACCCCAGUAGUCCCUGUCUCUUAUAC
rnacentral:rRNA from 1 species